GGGUCUGUAGUUUAAUAGGUUAGAACAACGGACUCAUAAUCCGUCAGGUCUCAGUUCAAAUCUGGGUGGACCCA
rnacentral:tRNA from 1 species